GACGAACGCUGGCGGCGUGCCUAAUACAUGCAAGUCGAACGCAGUGGGGACGGGUGAGUAACACGUGGGUAACCUCCCAUCAGAGGGGAUAACACUUGGAAACAGGUGCUAAACCGAUACUGAUGGAUGGACCCGCGGUGCAUUAGCUAGUUGGUGAGGUAACGGCUCACAACGUCCAAGAUGCAUAGCCGAACUGAGCGGGGGAUCGGCCACACUGGGACGUGGACACGGCCCAGACUCCUCGGGGAGGCAGCAGUAGGGAAACUUCGGCAAUGGAGGAAAGGUGGACCGAGCAACGCCGCGUGAGUUAAGAAGGGUUUCGGAGCGUAAACCUCGUUUGUUAGAGAAGCGGGAUCUAACCAGAAAGCCACGGCUAACUCCGUGCCAGCAGCCGCGGUAAUAC
rnacentral:rRNA from 1 species